GCCCGGUGCGGAUGUCAUGCUCUGGCUUAAAAUCCGCCGCUUCCUGAAAAGGGGCGUGCCGGUUCGACCCCGGCUCGGGGCACCA
rnacentral:tRNA from 1 species